rnacentral:rRNA from 1 species
UACGUAGGGUGCGAGCGUUAAUCGGAAUUACUGGGCGUAAAGCGUGCGCAGGCGGUUCGUGAUGUCUGGCGUGAAAGCCCCGGGCUUAACCUGGGAAUUGCAUUGGAAACUAGCGGGCUGGAGUGUGGCAGAGGGGGGUGGAAUUCCACGUGUAGCAGUGAAAUGCGUAGAGAUGUGGAGGAACACCGAUGGCGAAGGCAGCCCCCUGGGCUAACACUGACGCUCAUGCACGAAAGCGUGGGGAGCAAACAGG